UUUUCUUUAAUGGAAUUCUGCUCUGGCAACUUUUAUUUGCUAACUCGAAACUGCUGGGAUAUUAUUCAUAAAUUUUUUUAAAACUCAAUUUGGAACCCAUCACCUCAAUGAUAAUUUCUUUGUACACUUCAUUAGAAGUUACUUUUUUUUUUUUUUGAGAUUGAGUCUUGCUCUUUUGCCAGGCUGGAGUGUAGUGGCGCGAUCUCGGCUCACUGCAGCCUCUACCUCCCAGGUUCAAGCGAUUCCCCUGGCUCAGCCUCCCGAGUAGCUAGGACUAUAGGCGCAUGGCACCAUGCCCGGCUAAUUUUUUGUAUUUUAGUAGAGAUGGGGUUUCCCCAUUUUGGCCAGGAUGGUCUCAAUCUCCUGACCUUGAUCCCCCCGCCUCUAAUUAAAAUAAUUUGGAAUAUGGUUGUGUAGAAUAUGCUUAUUAUGUUUUCCAAAUAGCUUGUUUACUUUUUUUACUUUGAUUUAGGUAUGUAAAGAUUGGUCUCAGUGAAAUAUAAACUUUACAUUAGAGUAUAAUAGCCUACUGUCUGUAGAUAAAUAAGUAAUUUUUUUGAGAAUUAUUUAACAUGAAUGUUUUUAAAAAGAAAAUAGAAAUUUAAUUUAUUAAGAUUAAAUGUUUUCUUAUUAUAAUUACUGUAAUUGAAAACAGGUUAUUGUUUCAUUGAAAGAGUUCUAAAAGUAAGUAGCAGAAGCAGCUUUCUUUUAAGAAAUAGACACUGUAAAAUGUACAGAUUUUAAAGUUUCACAUAUUAAUAUUUUUUAGAUUUCAGAAAACUUUUAUUUUGACCUUAAUUCUGAGCAGAUGAAAGGAUUGUUACGUCCACAUGUACCACCUGCUGCCAUUACCACCCUGGCAAGAUCAGCAAUUUUUUCUAUCACUUAUCCUUCCCAAGAUGUUUUUCUUGUAAUAAAGGUGAGAAUGUUAAAUAUAUUUGUUUAUUUUGUAGUGUCUGUAUACUUGUCUGUCAGUAUUAUAAACUUUUCAAGGGCAAAGAUUUGACCUUUACUUAUUUUUUUUCAUCUUGAUAUUCUUUAACACAAUAUUGGACAUACACAGUAGGUGCUACCUAAUUUUUCUUGAACUCUUUAUUAGAAUUCUCCAGUGAAACAGAACUAAUAGGAAUAUAUAUAUAUAUAUAUCUUAUAUCUGUUUUGAUUAUUGUAGUUUUUAAAUACAUUUUCAUAUCAGGAAGUAUGAGACUUUCAGCUUUCUUCUUUUUUCCCUAAAUUUGUUUUGAUUAUUCAGGGUCUCUUGAAUUUCCCUAUGAAUUCUAGGAUGAGUUUUUCUAUUUCUGCAAAAAAAAAAAAAAAG
rnacentral:sRNA from 1 species